AGUGAACGCUGGCGGCGUGCCUAAUACAUGCAAGUCGAGCGAGCGGCGGACGGGUGAGUAAUGUCUGGGAAACUGCCUGAUGGAGGGGGAUAACUACUGGAAACGGUAGCUAAUACCGCAUACCAUCAGAUGUGCCCAGAUGGGAUUAGCUAGUAGGUGGGGUAAUGGCUCACCUAGGCGACGAUCCCUGGCUGGUCUGAGAGGAUGACCAGCCACGCUGGAACUGAGACACGGUCCAGACUCCUACGGGGGGCGGGAGUGGGGAAUAUUGCACAAGUGGCGCAAGCCUGAUGCAGCCAUGCCGGGUGUGUGAAGGAGGCCUUCGGGUUGUAAGGCACUUUCAGCGAGGAGGCGUUACUCGCAGAGGAAGCACCGGCUAACUCCGUGCCAGCAGCCGCGGUAAUUC
rnacentral:rRNA from 1 species